AAUACAUGUGCUCUAACCCUUUACUCCAGUGUUUUUGGCCAGUACAGCUGGUGGAUUGCUAGGAGUUUUUGAUACGAUAGGAAGUUAAUUCAGGAAGUAUCUGAUUGUCAUAAAGUGACAUGGCAUGGCCAUCUCCUGUGGUGGGCGGGGACCUGCCCGCAGCUGGAGAGAAUCGGGCCAACUCAAUGAGAGAAGCAAGGUAAGGAAAAUUGCUCAGAAAGAGAUUAGGCUUCCCCCAAAUCCCAACUCUGAGGGAUUGGAACCAAGACUCCCAUCCAGGACCUUCAAAGUCCAAUCCUGUGGUCUUCAUCAACUCACCGCUGUGUCUGCCCCCAAGGAACAGAUGACAUCACUGGGGAGACAUCAGCAGCUCAAACCUACUAGGGAGACAUUUCCAGGAAAGCAAAUGGAUUCCUGCUACUAUUAAGCGACAGAUGUGUGUGAGACAGCAGAAGUGGGCCAUGACUGGGGUAGGGUCUUCCAGUGAGUGUUUGCUCAUCUCUUCACCCGAAUCGUGUAAGGUCAGUGGGUGGCUUUACAGCAACAGAGACCACAAAACAAGGACAUUGGGAAUCCGGGUCCUAAUCCAGCGUCAUCAUGAGCUGCUGGUCUACACCACAGGCAGGCCUCUUAACUUUCCUGGGCCUCAGUUUCUUCAGCUGUAAAAUGAAAGGGUUGGACGAGAUGAUUUCCAAGGCCUCUUCCAGGCCUAUAAUUCUAUGUCACUUACUAGAAUGUUCGUGGCAAGUAUGCUACCCCGUGGCUUACAGUGAAUUCACUGUAAUUACUGAGUUCAGAGCACGAGGACGCUGGAUCCUAAAUCUGUUCAACGUCUAAGUCCUGUUCAGUCAUGUCAGGCCAGAUUGUUUUUAUAUCCAUGAAAUUUACGGCCCUGCCCUUUUAGAGGAGGAGGUGAGGAAACUGCAGGUAAUCUGUCCAGGUGAAGAAGGCCAGAAAGCUAUAAAUAAUAGUGAGAGUAGGAACGAGCCUUCUGCUUCUCAAGGCAAGCUCACAGUGAGGCAGAUGAGACAGUGGUUGCUUCUUCUUUUUUUUUAAUUGCCUUUUGUCAGAUGAGAAAAGUGAGGCACAGGCAAACUUUUAUGUUUGGACCAAGGUCUCCUUAUAACAGAGCCAGGACUAAGACCAGAUUGUUGACUCUGAUUCCAGUAUUCCUUCCAACAGCCAUGAAGAGUGUGUUUCCUUUGGGGAGUCCUAUAUCAUUAUAGUCUCAUUAGCAAAAUGUUCCUUUCUGAUGGCUAGGAAAAGGAUUCAGCAAGUGUCACUCUUGUUGACAGGUGUUGGAGAGAGAUAUAUCAUAAGGUGUAGAGGCCACUUCUGAAUAUCCUUUUAAAUUUUUUCAAUAUUUCCAGAGGCCAGAGAUACAUGUAUCUUAGGGUCUUCAUCCCAGCAGCUGAAAUAAAAAGAGAACUUGGUUGGCUUUA